rnacentral:sRNA from 1 species
AUUGAGUGGGAAUGAAAUAUAUAAUUGAUUUGGUGUGUUAAUGUUGAUUUAUAAGGGUUUUCGUUGUUUAGAAAUGACGAAUAAAACUAUAAAAUGAUAUAGUUCCCCACCAAAAACCCCACCAAGGGGGGAGAAAAGCCAAUUCCUUUUUAUAAGGACUUGGCUUUUUUU